AGACAGGUAGAGAGACAGACAGGUAGAUACAGACAGACAGACAGGUAGAGAGAUAGGUAGAUACAGACAGACAGACAGGUAGAUGCAGACAGACAGACAAGUAGACAGACAGACAGGUAGAGAGACAGGUAGAUACAGACAGGCAGACAGACAGGUAGAUACAGACAGACAGACAGACAGAUAGACAGUAGUUAAUGUUUGGUCAGUUUGGAGCCUAGAAUCAGACAGACAGGUAAAGAGAUAGACAGGUAGAGAGACAGACAGACUGACAGGUAGAGAGACAGACAGGUAGAGAGACAGACAGACUGACAGGUAGAGAGACAGACAGACUGACAGGUAGAGAGACAGACAGGUAGAGAGACAGACAGGUAGAGAGACAGACAGGUAGAGAGACAGACAGGUUCGAGCAGGUAACUUCCUGUUCUCAGUAAACACGUUCUAGUUGUUCUGCCAAACCAAACAAACAAGCAGUUCCUCUUCCUGAGGGUUAGCGUUAGCGUUAGCGUGCUGUUUGCAUGGGGCACACAGAGCACAGUGUGAUGUCAUCUCGUGCUUCUGUCCAGAUGAAAGUCUGAAUCUGUCUGUUUGUUCUGACGUCUGAACA